GGAUCAUUACCGAGUGAGGGCCCUCUGGGUCCAACCUCCCACCCGUGUCUAUCGUACCUUGUUGCUUCGGCGGGCCCGCCGUUUCGACGGCCGCCGGGGAGGCCCUGCGCCCCCGGGCCCGCGCCCGCCGAAGACCCCAACAUGAACGCUGUUCUGAAAGUAUGCAGUCUGAGUUGAUUAUCGUAAUCAGUUAAAACUUUCAACAACGGAUCUCUUGGUUCCGGCAUCGAUGAAGAACGCAGCGAAAUGCGAUAAGUAAUGUGAAUUGCAGAAUUCAGUGAAUCAUCGAGUCUUUGAACGCACAUUGCGCCCCCUGGUAUUCCGGGGGGCAUGCCUGUCCGAGCGUCAUUGCUGCCCUCAAGCACGGCUUGUGUGUUGGGCCCCCGUCCCCCUCUCCCGGGGGACGGGCCCGAAAGGCAGCGGCGGCACCGCGUCCGGUCCUCGAGCGUAUGGGGCUUUGUCACCUGCUCUGUAGGCCCGGCCGGCGCCAGCCGACACCCAACUUUAUUUUUCUAAGGUUGACCUCGGAUCAGGUAGGGAUACCCGCUGAACUUAAGCA
rnacentral:rRNA from 1 species